AUUUAAAGACGAGAGGGUCGUGUAAUAUAUUACAUUUCAGGAAAUCAUUCACUGUUACUCCCUAUGUAUAUAUGAAUCCGAUUCUGUCUUUGGACUACAUAGAGAGGAAAGGGGCCGUGCUAGACAGAGCUCGCUGUGUCAGCCGUGAGAAGCUCCGUUCAGCUCCGAGCCCAGCCCCGUGAGCCUACCAGCACCAGGAUGGUUUCCUUCAUCCUCUGCCUUCUCCCUGCUCUCCUAGCUACAACGAGUGCACAAACUACCCCAGGUCACACCCUGACAUGUAACACGUGCUUUGGCCAAACGAAGAACUGCAGUUUCAAUCCAGGAACCUGCAAAGCCAACAAGGCUACUGGUGGCUGCCUCUCCGUGGCAGAAGAUAGUACACUGGGUAGGUGA